rnacentral:rRNA from 1 species
AUGUUCGGCGACUCCGACGGAUCCAAGGACCCCGGCGCCGCGCCGCCGCCCGCCGACCAGCCCUUCCCCAACCGCGAGCUCACCCUCAGCAGCUACCUCUGCGACAAGCCCACCCUCGCAUCCGCCGCCGCCGCCGAGGCCGCUGCUUCCGCGGCGGCCGCAGCGGCAGCGGCGCCGGGCUCCUCCUCCCCUCCCAACCCCAACCCCGCCGCCGACGCCGCCGCGGCCGAUGCCGCCAACGCCAAGCUCUGCGUCGAGCGCGACUUCCUCCACCUCUCCGCGCCCAAGCGCGGCGAUCCCCCUGGGGACGACUCCUCCGUGGUCGGCGGGAAGAAGCCCCGCCUCGACUCCCUGCAGCUCUCGCUCUCCCUCCCGUCCGACGGGCCCGGGCAGGGGCAGGCGCAGCAGCAGCAGCAGCUCCCGCCGGCCCCCGCCGCCGAUGGAGAUCUCCGGGCCGCGUCGGCCGGCGCCGCCGCCGCGCCACCCCCCAGGCGGACCUACAGCGCCACCACGGGCCGCACACGGAGCAUCAACUCCGACGACAUGUCCUACUCCUACUCCAUGUUCUCGCACAACCCCAGCUGCUCCCUCACGCACAACUCCACCGACAUCUACGCCGCCGGGGAGGGAACAAACGGCUCCGUGCACAGCAGAUUCAAUUUCCGCCCCAUGGGGGACGGCAGCGUCGCCUUCGCCACGCCGCCGAUGAAGGAGGGCACCUCCGCCUUCUUCCCCACUGAGCUCCCCGCCAAGAUGGCGGCGGCCAGCGCGGGGGGCAGCUUUGACGGCGGCCGCGGCGGGCAUACGUCGCGGCCUGAUAGGAUCCUGCGGGACAUCGUGUCGGACUCUGUGUCGGCCAUGGCGCAUGUGCUGCAGGAGUUCCCCAGCGAGUCUCUGGAGGUGCUGCGGGCGGCGGUGCGGAGCAUGGUCGAUGCUCCGGAGAAGACGGACGAGCUGGCCAGCCUGCAGCGGAGGCUGGAGCGCCGGUCGGACCUGACGGCCGAGGCACUGGCGCGGGCCAACAGGACGCAGUUGGAGAUCCUGGUGGCCAUCAAGACUGGUUCGGCCGCGUUUGUCACCGGCAAGGGCCGCGUACCAAGCAGCGAGCUCGUGGAGAUGUUCCUCAUGACACGGUGCCGCAACCUCAACUGCAAGAGCAUGCUGCCUGUGGACGAUUGCGAGUGUAAGAUUUGCUCCAGCAACAAAGGGUUCUGUGGCGCAUGUAUGUGCCCGGUGUGCCACAAGUUUGACUGUGCUGCGAAUACCUGCAGUUGGGUCGGUUGUGAUGUUUGCGGCCAUUGGUGCCAUGCUGCGUGCGGGCUGGAGAGGAACUUGAUCAGACCAGGCCCGACACUCAAGGGGCCGAUAGGGACGACUGAGAUGCAGUUCCAGUGCCUUGGUUGCAGCCAUUCUUCUGAGAUGUUUGGAUUUGUUAAGGAGGUGUUCAAUUGCUGCGCAGAGAACUGGAAUGCUGAGACGCUGAUGAAAGAGCUAGAUGUUGUCAGGAAGAUAUUUGCUGCUAGUGAUGAUUUUGAGGGGAAGGGGCUUCAUGCCAAGGCUGAAGAGGUCCUCAGCAUGCUUUCAAAGAAAGUUAUCUCCCUGCCGGAUGCAUUGAACAACAUGCUGCAAUUCUUCAAAUAUGGCGUUACCGACUGCUCUGUCACUGGCAGCAAGUCCAAAGGCAUAUUGGCAGCAAAUCAGGCGAGCCAAUCUACGAUUCCCCUUCUAUCUCCGACCAUCAGUCCACCCAAAUCCUUCAAUUUCAAUGCCAGCACCUCCAUUCUCGACUCACAGAUUGAUGCGCUCAAGACCAGCCCAAAGUCCCUCUCUAUUGAACCCCGUUUUGGCUCCAGCUCAAACCCACUGGCUAUUGAACCCCGUUUUGGCGCCAGCUCGAAGCCGCUGUCCGUUGAUUCCCGUUUCGGCGCCAGCCCGAAGCCGCUCUCUAUCGAGCCCCAUUUCAGCACCACCUCAAAGGACGACGAAGCCUCCACCCUCGAGACCGUCGUCAAGUGCAAGGAAGCCGAAGCAAAACUGUUCCAGAAGCUGGCUGACGAUGCCCGGAAGGAGGUGGAGAACUACCGGCAGAUGGUUCGCAACAGAAUCCAGAGCAUGGAGGAGGAGUACACAUCGAAGGUGGCGAAGCUGUGCUUCCAGGAGGCGGAGGAGAAGAGGAGGAAGAAGAUGGAGGAGCUCAAGACGCUGGAGAACUCGCACUACGACUACCACAAGAUGAAGCUGCGGAUGCAGACCGAGAUCCAGGGCCUGCUCGAGCGGAUGGAGGCCACAAAGAAGAUGUGGGUGUAG